GAAAACGUCAGUGCAGACAACUGACAUCGUAUCGUGUAGAGCGUACUCAGUGUACUAUAUUAGAUUCGUUAAGUCACGAUAAAUAAAAAGCCUUGUGUCAUCAAUGCUUCUUAAAAUAGUUAAAAUAAAAUUUUCGUAGAGCACACAUUGCACACAUUAUAUACGAGAAUCAAUACACCAAAUUCAAAAAAUUAUUUCGAGUUCGAUUAAAACUUUAUGAUCGGUCAAUUCGCUCUCCGAAGACCUCCUAUUGCCUUCGUAAUGAUUUUGAUUUGGUUUUCAACUGAAGACAAGACUGUGUAUACCAAGUAAACAAAUUAUACAUUUCGUCAUUGCUGCACAAAUAGAUAUUUUCAACGAUUGUGCUGAGUAACGAAACGUUAAAAGUUCUGUGAUCAUUCUGUGAGUAUUUCGUUCUUGAAAGAUGAUUACAGUGAAAUUGUGUCUAAUCUUGUCGCUCGGGACAGUGUUGAUUUGUUCAAAUGUUUGCGGUGAAGAAUGUAUGUCACCUCUGCAAAUAAUCACAGCCACUAGGGCUUUGUGUGGAAAGCAUCGAAAUAACAAAGUGUUAUGGCAACAAGUCAUCGAUUGUCAUAUACCGAUUUCUGAUGAGUUUAUGCGUAGCAGUGGCGAAGCCCAAUGUGCUAUUCACAAACACGUUGAUGAUCCAACUAACACUAAAUACUCCAUUCAAGAUGUCUUUUUCAAUAUUUGCGGUUUGGUUGACGGAAGCUUUUUUGAUCAAGUCAGGGGUGGCGCGUGUAUUUUAGCGGGAAAAAGCAAUCCAUCCGUUAUGUCCCAUUCUAGAGAGGUAGCCGCAGUCGAAAAGACUUGGGGAAAGGAUGUGCCUUGUAAUGUUGGGAAAUGCAUUCUGAAACUGGACCUGAAUUGACCUGAAACUGGACCUGUAACUUGUAAUUAAUGUGAUCGGCCCUGUUACAUAAGUUUUAAUUGACGAUAUGUCAUGCGAAAUGUUCAUAUGCACAGCUGAUCUAGGUGACUGAUUAAAUAAUUUUUCCGUUGGUGGAGA